rnacentral:rRNA from 1 species
UCAGGAUGAACGCUAGCUACAGGCUUAACACAUGCAAGUCGAGGGGCAGCACAGUGUAGCAAUACAUGGGUGGCGACCGGCGCACGGGUGCGUAACGCGUAUCCAACCUUCCCGUUACUCUUGGAUAGCCUUCCGAAAGGGAGAUUAAUACAAGAUGGUAUUCAAAUUCCGCAUGUUAUUUGAAUUAAAGAGUUUCGGAUAAGGAUAGGCUCGCGUGACAUUAGCUAGACGGCGGGGUAACGGCCCACCGUGGCUACGAUGUCUAGGGGUUCUGAGAGGAAGGUCCCCCACACUGGAACUGAGACACGGUCCAGACUCCUACGGGAGGCAGCAGUGAGGAAUAUUGGUCAAUGGUCUGACGACUGAACCAGCCAUGCCGCGUGAAGGUCACGGCCCUAUGGGUCUUAAACUUCUUUUGCGAGGGAGCAAUAAGGUCUACGUGUAGUCCGAUGAGAGUACCUCGCGAAUAAGCAUCGGCUAACUCCGUG